rnacentral:lncRNA from 1 species
ACUUGACACAAUGGGACAUGCAAGCUGCGCAAACAAAACAACACAGGACUUCUUAUUUAAUGAAAGGAGUUGCAGUCGUCCGUGAAGCUUUCAUCCAUGUAUACAGUAUGAAGUGCAGAGCUGCGUUUGGAGAGAGCCAUAGGACGCGCUACCAACAUCAGGCUAAUGGAACGUGAAGUAUGGACUUUUUGACCGAAAAUACAUCUGUUGUGGACCUGGGAUGCUUUCUGAUGAAGACAACUAAAGAUGGUAUCUAGAUGCAUAGGAGGGAUAAUUUGACCAAACAGUGUGGACAUCAAAACCCCCUCUAACCGGCUGAAGAAAUGACAUUCACUAUGGCCCUGUCCUGCACCACUUCUGUCGAGAGACCUGAGUCUGAGCCAGCAACCGGUGUACAGCAUCCAGUUGAAGUCAUCAACUGCCUUUUCUCUCAGGGGGGAAACAGAAGUCCACGUGGAGUGAGCAUGGAGAGAGAGAUCCAUUCCAAAAUGUUUCUCAUAUCACUGGUAGGCAAAUGGACAAGACAUAAUGUGUUGUGGUGGGGUUCAGGUGAGACAUUGAAAUUGGGACAUUGUCAUGGGCCAUCUAUUUUGAACUGUGAAGCUAUCUGAAGAAGAAAAAUGAAGAAAUGCCAGAAGAUUGAGUGCUGGAGAAGGGAGGGGGUUGGUCAACUGUGCCCUUGAUUUAGACUUGUCUGACAUUUUUAUUUGGGGUGUCAGGUUGAUGGGGAGGUCUACACUGCUAAAUGUAUGAUUUAUGCUAAGAAUGCAUUGGUAUACUGAUCUGUAAUAAUAACCCUGAUGAGAGAGUUAAUUAUGAGAUUAAUAUAUUGUAUGGGCAGGUUUGAUUUUGGG